CAAUGAUGAUAAGGAUAAUGAUGAUGAUGAUGAUGAUGAUGAUGAUGAUUAUCAUUAUCAUCAUCACCAUCACCACCAUCAUCAUCGUCAUCACUU
rnacentral:pre_miRNA from 1 species